CCCUUCGGGGUACUCGAGUGGCGAACGGGUGAGUAACACGUGGGUGAUCUGCCCUGCACUUUGGGAUAAGCCUGGGAAACUGGGUCUAAUACCGAAUACACCCUGCUGGUCGCAUGGCCUGGUGGGGGAAAGCUUUUGCGGUGUGGGAUGGGCCCGCGGCCUAUCAGCUUGUUGGUGAGGUUACGGCUCACCAAGGCGACGACGGGUAGCCGGCCUGAGAGGGUGACCGGCCACACUGGGACUGAGAUACGGCCCAGACUCCUACGGGAGGCAGCAGUGGGGAAUAUUGCACAAUGGGCGCAAGCCUGAUGCAGCGACGCCGCGUGAGGGAUGACGGCCUUCGGGUUGUAAACCUCUUUCGCCAGGGACGAAGCGCAAGUGACGGUACCUGGAGAAGAAGGACCGGCCAACUACGUGCCA
rnacentral:rRNA from 3 species